rnacentral:rRNA from 2 species
UACGUAGGGUGCUAGCGUUGUUCGGAAUCAUUGGGCGUAAAGCGCGUGUAGGUGGUUAAGUAAGUCGGGUGUGAAAUCCCUCGGCUCAACCGAGGAAGUGCAUCCGAAACUACUUAGCUAGAGGACGGUAGAGGAAGGUGGAAUUCCAAGUGUAGAGGUGAAAUUCGUAGAUAUUUGGAGGAAUACCGGUGGCGAAGGCGGCCUUCUGGGCCGUUCCUGACACUGAGACGCGAAAGCGUGGGUAGCAAACAGG